UACGUAGGCGGACCAUUAAGUUGGGGGUGAAAUCCCGGGGCUCAACCCCGGAACUGCCUCCAAAACUGCUGGUCUUGAGUUCGAGAGAGGUGAGUGGAAUUCCGAGUGUAGAGGUGAAAUUCGUAGAUAUUCGGAGGAACACCAGUGGCGAAGGCGGCUCACUGGCUCGAUACUGACGCUGAGGUACGAAAGUGUGGGGAGCAAACAGGAUUAGAUACCCUGGUAGUCC
rnacentral:rRNA from 1 species